rnacentral:rRNA from 1 species
AUUGAACGCUGGCGGCAGGCCUAACACAUGCAAGUCGAGCGGAUGAAGGGAGCUUGCUCCUGGAUUCAGCGGCGGACGGGUGAGUAAUGCCUAGGAAUCUGCCUGGUAGUGGGGGAUAACGUCCGGAAACGGACGCUAAUACCGCAUACGUCCUGAGGAAGAAAGUGGGGGAUCUUCGGACCUCACGCUAUCAGAUGAGCCUAGGUCGGAUUAGCUAGUUGGUGGGGUAAAGGCCUACCAAGGCGACGAUCCGUAACUGGUCUGAGAGGAUGAUCAGUCACACUGGAACUGAGACACGGUCCAGACUCCUACGGGAGGCAGCAGUGGGGAAUAUUGGACAAUGGGCGAAAGCCUGAUCCAGCCAUGCCGCGUGUGUGAAGAAGGUCUUCGGAUUGUAAAGCACUUUAAGUUGGGAGGAAGGGCAGUAAGUUAAUACCUUGCUGUUUUGACGUUACCAACAGAAUAAGCACCGGCUAACUUCGUG